UACGAAGGGGGCUAGCGUUGUUCGGAUUUACUGGGCGUAAAGCGCACGUAGGCGGACUUUUAAGUCAGGGGUGAAAUCCCGGGGCUCAACCCCGGAACUGCCUUUGAUACUGGAAGUCUUGAGUUCGAGAGAGGUGAGUGGAAUUCCGAGUGUAGAGGUGAAAUUCGUAGAUAUUCGGAGGAACACCAGUGGCGAAGGCGGCUCACUGGCUCGAUACUGACGCUGAGGUGCGAAAGCGUGGGGAGCAAACAGG
rnacentral:rRNA from 1 species